UCGUCUGUUAAAUGUUGUAAAUCUUUUUGUUAGUUUUCUUUAAGUUAUUUAACGUUCCUUCUUCCCCUUUCCCCUUUCCCCUUUUCAUUUUCUUUUACAUUUUAUUAUUCUUCUUUCUUUUCUUUUCUUUUCUUUAUUUUGUUAUUUUCCUUGGUAACUUUGCUAGCAGGAUAAAUCGAGCUCGCCUUGGUAUCCAUUGUUUU
rnacentral:lncRNA from 1 species